rnacentral:rRNA from 1 species
GGGUUGUGAGGUUAAGCGACUAAGCGUACACGGUGGAUGCCCUGGCAGUCAGAGGCGAUGAAGGACGUGCUAAUCUGCGAUAAGCGUCGGUAAGGUGAUAUGAACCGUUAUAACCGGCGAUUUCCGAAUGGGGAAACCCAGUGUGUUUCGACACACUAUCAUUAACUGAAUCCAUAGGUUAAUGAGGCGAACCGGGGGAACUGAAACAUCUAAGUACCCCGAGGAAAAGAAAUCAACCGAGAUUCCCCCAGUAGCGGCGAGCGAACGGGGAGCAGCCCAGAGCCUGAAUCAGUGUGUGUGUUAGUGGAAGCGUCUGGAAAGGCGCGCGAUACAGGGUGACAGCCCCGUACACAAAAAUGCACAUGCUGUGAGCUCGAUGAGUAGGGCGGGACACGUGGUAUCCUGUCUGAAUAUGGGGGGACCAUCCUCCAAGGCUAAAUACUCCUGACUGACCGAUAGUGAACCAGUACCGUGAGGGAAAGGCGAAAAGAACCCCGGCGAGGGGAGUGAAAAAGAACCUGAAACCGUGUACGUACAAGCAGUGGGAGCCUCUUUUAUGGGGUGACUGCGUACCUUUUGUAUAAUGGGUCAGCGACUUAUAUUCUGUAGCAAGGUUAACCGAAUAGGGGAGCCGAAGGGAAACCGAGUCUUAACUGGGCGUUAAGUUGCAGGGUAUAGACCCGAAACCCGGUGAUCUAGCCAUGGGCAGGUUGAAGGUUGGGUAACACUAACUGGAGGACCGAACCGACUAAUGUUGAAAAAUUAGCGGAUGACUUGUGGCUGGGGGUGAAAGGCCAAUCAAACCGGGAGAUAGCUGGUUCUCCCCGAAAGCUAUUUAGGUAGCGCCUCGUGAAUUCAUCUCCGGGGGUAGAGCACUGUUUCGGCAAGGGGGUCAUCCCGACUUACCAACCCGAUGCAAACUGCGAAUACCGGAGAAUGUUAUCACGGGAGACACACGGCGGGUGCUAACGUCCGUCGUGAAGAGGGAAACAACCCAGACCGCCAGCUAAGGUCCCAAAGUCAUGGUUAAGUGGGAAACGAUGUGGGAAGGCCCAGACAGCCAGGAUGUUGGCUUAGAAGCAGCCAUCAUUUAAAGAAAGCGUAAUAGCUCACUGGUCGAGUCGGCCUGCGCGGAAGAUGUAACGGGGCUAAACCAUGCACCGAAGCUGCGGCAGCGACACUGUGUGUUGUUGGGUAGGGGAGCGUUCUGUAAGCCUGUGAAGGUGUGCUGUGAGGCAUGCUGGAGGUAUCAGAAGUGCGAAUGCUGACAUAAGUAACGAUAAAGCGGGUGAAAAGCCCGCUCGCCGGAAGACCAAGGGUUCCUGUCCAACGUUAAUCGGGGCAGGGUGAGUCGACCCCUAAGGCGAGGCCGAAAGGCGUAGUCGAUGGGAAACAGGUUAAUAUUCCUGUACUUGGUGUUACUGCGAAGGGGGGACGGAGAAGGCUAUGUUGGCCGGGCGACGGUUGUCCCGGUUUAAGCGUGUAGGCUGGUUUUCCAGGCAAAUCCGGAAAAUCAAGGCUGAGGCGUGAUGACGAGGCACUACGGUGCUGAAGCAACAAAUGCCCUGCUUCCAGGAAAAGCCUCUAAGCAUCAGGUAACAUCAAAUCGUACCCCAAACCGACACAGGUGGUCAGGUAGAGAAUACCAAGGCGCUUGAGAGAACUCGGGUGAAGGAACUAGGCAAAAUGGUGCCGUAACUUCGGGAGAAGGCACGCUGAUAUGUAGGUGAAGUCCCUCGCGGAUGGAGCUGAAAUCAGUCGAAGAUACCAGCUGGCUGCAACUGUUUAUUAAAAACACAGCACUGUGCAAACACGAAAGUGGACGUAUACGGUGUGACGCCUGCCCGGUGCCGGAAGGUUAAUUGAUGGGGUCAGCGCAAGCGAAGCUCUUGAUCGAAGCCCCGGUAAACGGCGGCCGUAACUAUAACGGUCCUAAGGUAGCGAAAUUCCUUGUCGGGUAAGUUCCGACCUGCACGAAUGGCGUAAUGAUGGCCAGGCUGUCUCCACCCGAGACUCAGUGAAAUUGAACUCGCUGUGAAGAUGCAGUGUACCCGCGGCAAGACGGAAAGACCCCGUGAACCUUUACUAUAGCUUGACACUGAACAUUGAGCCUUGAUGUGUAGGAUAGGUGGGAGGCUUAGAAGUGUGGACGCCAGUCUGCAUGGAGCCGACCUUGAAAUACCACCCUUUAAUGUUUGAUGUUCUAACGUUGACCCGUAAUCCGGGUUGCGGACAGUGUCUGGUGGGUAGUUUGACUGGGGCGGUCUCCUCCUAAAGAGUAACGGAGGAGCACGAAGGUUGGCUAAUCCUGGUCGGACAUCAGGAGGUUAGUGCAAUGGCAUAAGCCAGCUUGACUGCGAGCGUGACGGCGCGAGCAGGUGCGAAAGCAGGUCAUAGUGAUCCGGUGGUUCUGAAUGGAAGGGCCAUCGCUCAACGGAUAAAAGGUACUCCGGGGAUAACAGGCUGAUACCGCCCAAGAGUUCAUAUCGACGGCGGUGUUUGGCACCUCGAUGUCGGCUCAUCACAUCCUGGGGCUGAAGUAGGUCCCAAGGGUAUGGCUGUUCGCCAUUUAAAGUGGUACGCGAGCUGGGUUUAGAACGUCGUGAGACAGUUCGGUCCCUAUCUGCCGUGGGCGCUGGAGAACUGAGGGGGGCUGCUCCUAGUACGAGAGGACCGGAGUGGACGCAUCACUGGUGUUCGGGUUGUCAUGCCAAUGGCACUGCCCGGUAGCUAAAUGCGGAAGAGAUAAGUGCUGAAAGCAUCUAAGCACGAAACUUGCCCCGAGAUGAGUUCUCCCUGACCCUUUAAGGGUCCUGAAGGAACGUUGAAGACGACGACGUUGAUAGGCCGGGUGUGUAAGCGCAGCGAUGCGUUGAGCUAACCGGUACUAAUGAACCGUGAGGCUUAACCUUACAACGCCGAAGCUGUU